CGCGACGUCUGCAGGGCUCGAUUCCUGGUCCAGCCCCGCCGAGCUCCGCCCCUCCGCCCGCGAAGAGUGCAGCGGGCGCAGCCACAGAGCCGCUGUCGCCGGGCCAGCCUAGGGCGGCCGGCCCGGAACCACCCGAUGAGAUUUCUUCUCUCUAGGGAUGGUGAAGUUGGAGAGGGGCUCCUUUAACCCUUCUGCAGGAUGAACCCUGUGCCAGAAGACAUGGAGAACGCUCUCAUGGGGAGUCAGAGCUCGCACGCUUCCCUGCGCGACGUCCAUUCCAUCAACCCCACGCAACUCAUGGCCAGGAUUGAGUCCUAUGAAGGAAGGGAAAAGAAAGGCAUAUCUGAUGUCAGGAGGACUUUCUGUUUGUUUGUCACCUUUGACCUCUUAUUUGUAACGUUACUGUGGAUAAUAGAGUUAAAUGUGAAUGGAGGUAUUGAGAACACGUUAGAAAAAGAAGUGGUGCAGUAUGACUACUACUCUUCUUAUUUUGAUAUAUUUCUUUUGGCAGUUUUUCGAUUUAAAGUGUUAAUACUUGCAUAUGCCGUGUGCAGACUGCGCCAUUGGUGGGCCAUAGCGGUGAGUACGCCUGUUGACGACAGCAGUGACCAGUGCCUUUUUACUAGCAAAAGUGAUCCUCUCAAAGCUUUUCUCUCAAGGGGCUUUCGGCUACGUGCUGCCCAUCAUUUCCUUCAUCCUUGCCUGGAUCGAGACGUGGUUCCUGGAUUUCAAGGUGUUACCUCAAGAGGCAGAAGAAGAAAACCGACUCCUAAUAGUUCAGGAUGCCUCGGAGAGGGCAGCACUGAUACCUGGUGGUCUUUCUGAUGGUCAGUUUUAUUCUCCUCCUGAAUCCGAAGCAGGAUCUGAAAAUGAAGCUGAAGAAAAGCAGGACAGUGAAAAACCACUUUUAGAACUAUGAGUAAGACUUUUAUUAAAUGUGAAAAACCUUCACUGAACGUCACCAGAGGGAAAAAAGCACUGAAACUGAGGGUCUCCCUUUUGAAGGUUGAAAUGGUGACAUCCACUGCUGACGUUACUGAACGGCUAAUAACGAAUUUAUUGAUUGUAAUACCUCACAGACAUGGUACCAUCUCCACAUACAUUUAAUCACCUGCCUGUGGCUGGUAAGAUAAUGUCAUGAUCCAUCCUGUAUUCGGUGAGACUUGAGUCUGAUCUGUCAAAGAAUAGUUGCAGAAAGUCUUGUGCUGUGUUCCUGAUCAAAAGACUUCUUAAUAUAUUGGAAUAACACUUUUUUAGUAUGCAGAAUAUCUUUUUAUUUUGACUUGCAGAAUGGAAUUUUUUUGUUUCAUGUCUUGGAUUUCUUUUGUCUUUCUUUUUUAACUCCCUACAUUUCCCUUGUGUUUUUUUAACUCAUGCACAUGCACUAUUUGUACAAUUUUAAAAGGUAAUAAAAUCCAACAUAUCAAAAUGA